rnacentral:rRNA from 1 species
GACGAACGCUGGCGGCGUGCUUAACACAUGCAAGUCGAACGGAAAGGCCCUGCUUUUGUGGGGUGCUCGAGUGGCGAACGGGUGAGUAACACGUGAGUAACCUGCCCUUGACUUUGGGAUAACUUCAGGAAACUGGGGCUAAUACCGGAUAGGAGCUCCUGCUGCAUGGAGGGGGUUGGAAAGUUUCGGCGGUUGGGGUUGGACUCGCGGCUUAUCAGCUUGUUGGUGGGGUAGUGGCUUACCAAGGCUUUGACGGGUAGCCGGCCUGAGAGGGUGACCGGCCACAUUGGUACUGCGAGACGGACCAGACUGCUACAGGAGACAACAGGGGGGAGUCUUGCACAACGAGCGCAAGCCGGAUACGGAAGCGCUGCGUGCGGGAUGACGGCCUUCGGGUUAAGAACCGCUUUCGCCUAUGACGAAGCGUGAGUGACGGUAAUGGGUAAAGAAGCACCGGCUAACUACGUG